AGUGGCGCACGGGUGCGUAACGCGUAUACACCUACCUUAUACAGGGGUAUAGCCCAGGGAAACUUGGAUUAACACCCCAUAGUUUGGCAUCAUUAAAACUACGGUGGUAUAAGAUGGGUAUGCGUCCCGUUAGCUUGUUGGUGUGGUAACGGCACACCAAGGCAACGAUGGGUAGGGGCCCUGAGAGGGGGAUCCCCCACACUGGUACUGAGACAGGACCAGACUCCUACGGGAGGCAGCAGUGAGGAAUAUUGGACAAUGGGCGGGAGCCUGAUCCAGCCAUGCCGCGUGCAGGAAGACUGCCUAUGGGUUGUAAACUGCUUUUAUACGGGAAGAAACCCACCUACGUGUAGGUGGCUGACGGUACCGUAAGAAUAAGGACCGGCUAACUCCGUGCCAGCAGCCGCGGUAAUACGGAGGGUCCGAGCGUUAUCCGGAAUCAUUGGGUUUAAAGGGUCCGCAGGCGGCCAGAUAAGUCAGUGGUGAAAUUCCGUGGCUCAACCACGGAACUGCCAUUGAUACUGUUUGGCUUGAAUCAGUUCGAGGAUGCCGGAAUGUGUGGUGUAGCGGUGAAAUGCAUAGAUAUCACACAGAACACCAAUUGCGAAGGCAGGUGUCCAGAACUGUAUUGACGCUGAUGGACGAAAGCGUGGGUAGCGAACAGGAUUAGAUACCCUGGUAGUCCACGCCGA
rnacentral:rRNA from 1 species